UACAUGUGGGGCAAGCGUUGUUCGGAAUUACUGGGCAUAAAGGGUGCGUAGGCGGCUUGUUAAGUCAGGGGUGAAAGUUUUCGGCCCAACCGGAAAAUGGCCUUUGAUACUGGCGAGCUCGAGUGCGUGAGGGGUGACUGGAACGAGCAGUGUAGCGGUGAAAUGCGUAGAUAUUGGGAGGAACACCGGUGGCGAAGGCGGCGACCUGGGUAGAUACUGACGCUGAGGCGCGAAAGCGUGGGGAGCAAACAGG
rnacentral:rRNA from 1 species